AACCGACUAAUGUUGAAAAAUUAGCGGAUGACUUGUGGCUGGGGGUGAAAGGCCAAUCAAACCGGGAGAUAGCUGGUUCUCCCCGAAAGCUAUUUAGGUAGCGCCUCGUGAAUUCAUCUCCGGGGGUAGAGCACUGUUUCGGCAAGGGGGUCAUCCCGACUUACCAACCCGAUGCAAACUGCGAAUACCGGAGAAUGUUAUCACGGGAGACACACGGCGGGUGCUAACGUCCGUCGUGAAGAGGGAAACAACCCAGACCGCCAGCUAAGGUCCCAAAGUCAUGGUUAAGUGGGAAACGAUGUGGGAAGGCCCAGACAGCCAGGAUGUUGGCUUAGAAGCAGCCAUCAUUUAAAGAAAGCGUAAUAGCUCACUGGUCGAGUCGGCCUGCGCGGAAGAUGUAACGGGGCUAAACCAUGCACCGAAGCUGCGGCAGCGACACUGUGUGUUGUUGGGUAGGGGAGCGUUCUGUAAGCCUGCGAAGGUGUGCUGUGAGGCAUGCUGGAGGUAUCAGAAGUGCGAAUGCUGACAUAAGUAACGAUAAAGCGGGUGAAAAGCCCGCUCGCCGGAAGACCAAGGGUUCCUGUCCAACGUUAAUCGGGGCAGGGUGAGUCGACCCCUAAGGCGAGGCCGAAAGGCGUAGUCGAUGGGAAACAGGUUAAUAUUCCUGUACUUGGUGUUACUGCGAAGGGGGGACGGAGAAGGCUAUGUUGGCCGGGCGACGGUUGUCCCGGUUUAAGCGUGUAGGCUGGUUUUCCAGGCAAAUCCGGAAAAUCAAGGCUGAGGCGUGAUGACGAGGCACUACGGUGCUGAAGCAACAAAUGCCCUGCUUCCAGGAAAAGCCUCUAAGCAUCAGGUAACAUCAAAUCGUACCCCAAACCGACACAGGUGGUCAGGUAGAGAAUACCAAGGCGCUUGAGAGAACUCGGGUGAAGGAACUAGGCAAAAUGGUGCCGUAACUUCGGGAGAAGGCACGCUGAUAUGUAGGUGAAGUCCCUCGCGGAUGGAGCUGAAAUCAGUCGAAGAUACCAGCUGGCUGCAACUGUUUAUUAAAAACACAGCACUGUGCAAACACGAAAGUGGACGUAUACGGUGUGACGCCUGCCCGGUGCCGGAAGGUUAAUUGAUGGGGUCAGCGCAAGCGAAGCUCUUGAUCGAAGCCCCGGUAAACGGCGGCCGUAACUAUAACGGUCCUAAGGUAGCGAAAUUCCUUGUCGGGUAAGUUCCGACCUGCACGAAUGGCGUAAUGAUGGCCAGGCUGUCUCCACCCGAGACUCAGUGAAAUUGAACUCGCUGUGAAGAUGCAGUGUACCCGCGGCAAGACGGAAAGACCCCGUGAACCUUUACUAUAGCUUGACACUGAACAUUGAGCCUUGAUGUGUAGGAUAGGUGGGAGGCUUUGAAGUGUGGACGCCAGUCUGCAUGGAGCCGACCUUGAAAUACCACCCUUUAAUGUUUGAUGUUCUAACGUUGACCCGUGAUCCGGGUUGCGGACAGUGUCUGGUGGGUAGUUUGACUGGGGCGGUCUCCUCCUAAAGAGUAACGGAGGAGCACGAAGGUUGGCUAAUCCUGGUCGGACAUCAGGAGGUUAGUGCAAUGGCAUAAGCCAGCUUGACUGCGAGCGUGACGGCGCGAGCAGGUGCGAAAGCAGGUCAUAGUGAUCCGGUGGUUCUGAAUGGAAGGGCCAUCGCUCAACGGAUAAAAGGUACUCCGGGGAUAACAGGCUGAUACCGCCCAAGAGUUCAUAUCGACGGCGGUGUUUGGCACCUCGAUGUCGGCUCAUCACAUCCUGGGGCUGAAGUAGGUCCCAAGGGUAUGGCUGUUCGCCAUUUAAAGUGGUACGCGAGCUGGGUUUAGAACGUCGUGAGACAGUUCGGUCCCUAUCUGCCGUGGGCGCUGGAGAACUGAGGGGGGCUGCUCCUAGUACGAGAGGACCGGAGUGGACGCAUCACUGGUGUUCGGGUUGUCAUGCCAAUGGCACUGCCCGGUAGCUAAAUGCGGAAGAGAUAAGUGCUGAAAGCAUCUAAGCACGAAACUUGCCCCGAGAUGAGUUCUCCCUGACUCCUUGAGAGUCCUGAAGGAACGUUGAAGACGACGACGUUGAUAGGCCGGGUGUGUAAGCGCAGCGAUGCGUUGAGCUAACCGGUACUAAUGAACCGUGAGGCUUAACCUUACAACGCCGAAGGUGUUU
rnacentral:rRNA from 1 species